rnacentral:rRNA from 1 species
UACGGAGGAUGCGAGCGUUAUCCGGAUUUAUUGGGUUUAAAGGGAGCGCAGGCUGCGAGGCAAGUCAGCGGUCAAAUGUCGGGGCUCAACCCCGGCCUGCCGUUGAAACUGUCUUGCUAGAGUUCGAGUGAGGUAUGCGGAAUGCGUUGUGUAGCGGUGAAAUGCAUAGAUAUGACGCAGAACUCCGAUUGCGAAGGCAGCAUACCAACUCGCGACUGACGCUGAGGCUCGAAAGCGUGGGUAUCGAACAGGAUGAGAUACCCUGGUAGUCCUGACUGACU